rnacentral:rRNA from 1 species
GGCGCAGCUGAUCCUGCCAUGCCGCGUGAGUGAAGAAGGCCUUCGGGUUGUAAAGCUCUUUCGGCGGGGAAGAAAGGUACGUGCUAAUACCACGGACUAAUGACGGUACCCGAAGAAGAAGCACCGGCUAACUACGUGCCAGCAGCCGCGGUAAUACGUAGGGUGCAGGCGUUAAUCGGAAUUACUGGGCGUAAAGCGUGCGCAGGCGGUUUGUUAAGACAGAUGUGAAAUCCCCGGGCUUAACCUGGGAACUGCGUUUGUUACUGGCAAGCUAGAGUGUGGCAGAGGGGGGUGGAAUUCCAAGUGUAGCAGUGAAAUGCGUAGAUAUUUGGAGGAACACCGAUGGCGAAGGCAGCCCCCUGGGCUAACACUGACGCUCAUGCACGAAAGCGUGGGGAGCAAACAGGAUUAGAUACCCUGGUAGUCCACGCCCUAAACUAUGUCAACUGGUUGUCGGGGAAGCAAUUCCUUGGUAACGAAGCUAACGCGUGAAGUUGACCGNCUGGGGAGUACGGCCGCAAGGUUAAAACUCAAAGGAAUUGACGGGGACCCGCACAAGCGGUGGAUUAUGUGGAUUAAUUC